CCAAGGCUCACUGAUGCACGUGGAUUGCGAAGGCCAGUUCGUCUGGUCUGAACAAACAGAAGAGCUAGCUCAAAUUUCUGAAAACCUUAAUGCUGAUCAUGAUGGUCAUGGCAUUACAGUUUGUUGUGUAUGGGGCUGCAUAGCCCCAGACCAGUCAGAGUGCCCAUAAUGACCCCUGUCCACUGCCAAAAGCACCUUCAAGGGUAACAUGAACAUCAAAACUGGACCAUGGAGCAAUUAAAGAAGAUUACCUUCUCUAACAAAUGUUUCCUUUCAGAUUAGGUGGCUGGUCGGGUGCGUGUGCAUCAUUUACCUGGGGAAGAAAUGGCAGCAAGACACACUAUGGGAAGCAGGCAGGCUGGGAGAGGAAAUAUUCUGCUGAGAAACCUUGAGUUUUGAGAGUCAUAUUACUGUGACACGUACCGUAUAUCUUGAGAUUGUUGCAGACAUGGCAUUGGCGUUCCC